rnacentral:rRNA from 1 species
GAUGAACGCUGGCGGCGUGCUUAACACAUGCAAGUCGAGCGGUGAAGCAGGAGCUUGCUCUUGUGGAUCAGUGGCGAACGGGUGAGUAACACGUGAGCAACCUGCCCCUGACUCUGGGAUAAGCGCUGGAAACGGCGUCUAAUACUGGAUAUGUGAUGUGACCGCCUGGUCAGCAUCUGGAAAGAAUUUCGGUUGGGGAUGGGCUCGCGGCCUAUCAGCUUGGUGGUGAGGUAAUGGCUCACCAAGGCGUCGACGGGUAGCCGGCCUGAGAGGGUGACCGGCCACACUGGGACUGAGACACGGCCCAGACUCCUACGGGAGGCAGCAGUGGGGAAUAUUGCACAAUGGGCGGAAGCCUGAUGCAGCAACGCCGCGUGAGGGAUGACGGCCUUCGGGUUGUAAACCUCUUUUAGCAGGGAAGAAGCGAAAGUGACGGUACCUGCAGAAAAAGCACCGGCUAACUACGUGCCAGCCGCCGCCGUAA